rnacentral:lncRNA from 1 species
CUGCAACUGACAACCAGUCAGGCUAUGGAAACAUUAGAGAUGGUAAGUUUAAACUAAAUACACAAUAAACACAUGACAUUAACAUUUAUUCUCAAAAAUUCUUUAUUUUUCAUGUAUUUACCAUUAUAUUCAUAUAUUACUACUGCACCCCUGAUACAAUCUGUUUCACUCUGUGUUGCUGCAGCUCACACAGGAAGUCUGGAACACACAUAUGUAGAUCCACUCCCAAUGUCACUGUAUGAAAAUGAUGAACAGAAUAAAAAGAGGAUAUCUGAUCAUGAUCCCAGUGUCUAUGCAAACAUCUCACCAGAUGACGAGGACGACUACGAGAACUCUGAAUUCCUGAAGCAGCAAGAGGAUGAGGGUGAGAAAGCAUUUUUAACAACCAUAUUCACUAAACCUACUGCUUUUUCUGUGGUUUUGUUUCUUAUUCUACUCAAACAGAAGCAUUUUCAUACACCACCUGAGCAGAAGUGA